ACGGCUGCUCGCCGUGCCGGUGGGCGUGGCCGCGUGCGUGGCGGCGUACGCGGUGGCGCCCUGGUUCGACGCCAGGUGGCUGUU
rnacentral:tRNA from 1 species